rnacentral:misc_RNA from 1 species
CUCUUACUGGCUAUUCCCCUCAUCAUCAUGAGUCUGGCCUAUGGAAUGAUCAGCAUUACUCUGUGGUCUGGAAUGAAACUCGACCAAAAAAGCGAGAUGGAGGCAAGAAAUGGAACACGAAAACCUAUUGACGAUGAAACUUCAUCUUUUCUUCGAAUGGACGAUACUUCAUCAUCAAAUGGAACUCCAAUUUUCUCCACAAAAAAAUUAAAAUCGUGUGAGACUUUAAGACAAAAUGGAAAAUCAUGUCGAAUAAAUCUACGCGGAGGAAUUCGACAAACAAAUGGAGAAAAAAGUAGAGCCGCUAAGAAGCGGGUCAUUAAGAUGCUGUUCGCAUUAGUUUUUGAGUUUUUCUUGUGUUUGACACCAUUUUUCGUUUUUCAGACUUGGUUAAUAGUUAACCCAGUUAGUGUUAAGAAAUAUCUUUCCGGUGAAGGUUUAAUGUUCUUGAAUCUCCUAGCGUACGUGUCCACGUGUUGUAAUCCCGUGACGUACUGUUUCAUGAACAGAAACUUUAGACAAGGCUUUCUGUCAGUGUUUCGGUGUCUGUACAUGCGGCGAGUAAAGAGUGAUGCGUCUUUUUACGUGAAUGGUGGUUCAAGCGUGUCCAGAACGAAUAUGAGUCGGAUUCCAUCUUACGACAAAAUACAACAGGAAAACACUGGCGAGUUUCUCAUGGUGGGAAAAUAACUAGCAGGACAACAAUGUAACCUCUUUGCGACUGGAGUGGCAGGGAAUGAGAUUCAAUGAAAUGUAAUCAGUUGGUUCUCUUAUCAUUGGUUUUUAUCUCAGAAACCCCAAGAUUUAAUCCGUGUAUUGAUAAAUCUGUAUUGAAUUUUUGAAAAACUUAUAAAAUGAAAAUGACUGUUGUAUUGUUAUUGAUUCCUUUAAUUUAUCUAUUCUUAUGGUACAAAAAUUAUAAUUAUUGUAUCAGGUUCAUGAGUUAUCAAUAUUUUUUAUGUUACAUGAAAACAUUAAUGGACUUCCAAUGUUUGAAAUCUUGAAGUCUAAUUUUUAUUUUUAUUUUUUUAGAUAGCAUGCUAUCUUCUCGUUAAACUUUAAAACUGAAUGAAACGAUAAAUAAAAAUAUUUUUCUAU